rnacentral:tRNA from 1 species
GGAGGUGUGGUUCAGCAACAGAGGGUCUGCCUAGCAAGCAUGAGGCCCUGAGUUCAAAACUCAGUACCACCA